rnacentral:rRNA from 1 species
UACGUAGGGUGCAAGCGUUGUCCGGAAUUAUUGGGCGUAAAGAGCUCGUGGGCGGUCUGUCGCGUCUGCUGUGAAAUCCCGAGGCUCAACCUCGGGCCUGCAGUGGGUACGGGCAGACUAGAGUGCGGUAGGGGAGAUUGGAAUUCCUGGUGUAGCGGUGGAAUGCGCAGAUAUCAGGAGGAACACCGAUGGCGAAGGCAGAUCUCUGGGCCGUAACUGACGCUGAGGAGCGAAAGCGUGGGGAGCGAACAGG